UUUUUCAAAUUUUUUAUUUAUCAAGACGUGUCAGUAAUAGACUCUGAAGUGUGCUGAGAAAUGAAUGGCUAGAAAAGUGAUGACAUUUCAUUCGAUGUCUUUUCUUGAUUCUCUCCACUCAUAUAAGUAGAUCAAUAAAAUUUGAACACAUGUCUGCACGAGACUCUGGAUUGGACAGAGACA
rnacentral:ribozyme from 12 species